AUUGAACGCUGGCGGCAGGCCUAACACAUGCAAGUCGAGCGGAUGAAGGGAGCUUGCUCCUGGAUUCAGCGGCGGACGGGUGAGUAAUGCCUAGGAAUCUGCCUGGUAGUGGGGGAUAACGUCCGGAAACGGGCGCUAAUACCGAAUACGUCCUGAGGGAGAAAGUGGGGGAUCUUCGGACCUCACGCUAUCAGAUGAGCCUAGGUCGGAUUAGCUAGUUGGUGGGGUAAAGGCCUACCAAGGCGACGAUCCGUAACUGGUCUGAGAGGAUGAUCAGUCACACUGGAACUGAGACACGGUCCAGACUCCUACGGGAGGCAGCAGUGGGGAAUAUUGGACAAUGGGCGAAAGCCCGAUCCAGCCAUGCCGCGUGUGUGAAGAAGGUCUUCGGAUUGUAAAGCACUUUAAGUUGGGAGGAAGGGCAGUAAGUUAAUACCUUGCUGUUUUGACGUUACCAACAGAAUAAGCACCGGCUAACUUCGUG
rnacentral:rRNA from 1 species